AGUGAACGCUGGCGGUAGGCCUAACACAUGCAAGUCGAACGGCAGCACAGGAGAGCUUGCUCUCUGGGUGGCGAGUGGCGGACGGGUGAGGAAUACAUCGGAAUCUACUCUGUCGUGGGGGAUAACGUAGGGAAACUUACGCUAAUACCGCAUACGACCUACGGGUGAAAGCAGGGGACCUUCGGGCCUUGCGCGAUUGAAUGAGCCGAUGUCGGAUUAGCGAGUUGGCGGGGUAAAGGCCCACCAAGGCGACGAUCCGUAGCUGGUCUGACAGGAUGAUCAGGCACACGGGACGUGAGACGCGGUCCAGAGUCCUACGGGAGGCAGCAGUGGUGAAUAUUCGACAAUGGGCGCAAGCUUGAUACAGCCAUACCGCGUGGGUGAAGAAGGCCUUCGGGUUGUAAAGCCCUCUUGUUGGGAAAGAAAUCCAGCUGGCUAAUACCCGGUUGGGAUGACGGUACCCAAAGAAUAAGCACCGGCUAACUUCGUGCCAGCCGCCGCCGUAA
rnacentral:rRNA from 1 species